CAGUCAUUAAUUCAGUAAUGUGUUGCAUACAGCUUCUUUUCACAGUAACUAUUUUUUUUUAAAUGUUUUAUCUCAGUUUGACUUGCAUAUAAUUUUAUUUUGAUUAUAGGAUAUAGAAAGGGAUCAGAACCUGGAAUGCCAGAAAUGACACCAUUUAGUUUACUCUGGCAGUAAGAUGAGAAACUUUACAUCAUGUGAUAUGGAUACCAAGAAAUGUAGAUGUUGGUGUACAGAUAAUUCAGAAUGGACUGUAACUCUUAAUUAAACUAACUAUAAUUAACAAACUAUA